CGCGCAAACACGCUCGUUAAUGGGCUUAGGUAUUAGCGAGUCCUAACGAUGCAUACAAAUGUGCUCUGCCUCUGUAGGCCCCUCAAGAUUUAUGGGCCUUGAGCUCUCUGAAGCUGUAAACAAGGAGAAAAAAAAGAGAGAGAGAAAGAGAGAGAGACUAGGGGGAAGAGACAGAGGCCUGACUUGCCCCUCCAGGUUGUGGGAGAGAAGGGAUCUCUGCAAGUGGGUUCUUACAUAUUUUCCUUUCCUUUCAAGUGCGUUGUGUGGGUUUUGGCAUCUGUCUGGGGAUGGUGGUUGGGUCUGAAUGCUGGUGUGCGUGGGCAACGUGUUGUUUGUGUGCUGGGGUAGGAUGCCAGCCUCCUCUGAAUUGCUGUUCAGGAGCCUGAAUAGAGUAGGUAUUUGUGGGUAUAUACCUGUGAAUGUGUGCACUGUGCUAGGAGGGGUGUGUGUCUGUGUGCACAUGCACGUGUGACAAGCAAGCCUCCCUCUGGGCCAGGCUGCUGUCCCCUGAACCUGGUGAACAAAUCAACAACACUCAUAAGAACAAUAAAAAAUAACAAUAAAAACAGUAGUUAGCCAUCCCUUCCUAGCAGGGUAACAAUAAAAUGCAGAAGGAGAUAUUUUGAGGAGGGGACAGUGGAAGGAGUGGUGAUUAUAGCAACUGGGGGAAGAAAAGAAAGGAAGGAAGGAAGUUAACUUCUUCCUAUGCCCUUGGGGGGCUGGGUGUGGGAACCCCUCACCCCAGAUGAGGUCCUCCGGCCAGAGGAGGAGAGGGAGAGCCAGGAGGCCGCUCUGUCCCGCUUCUCUUUCUCGGCUUUUGCUUUGUGCGAUGAGGGGAAGAACCCCACAUAGGGGAUUGGUUAGUGGCUUUGGAAACUCUUUAGAGCCCCUGUUUUAAAGAGAGGGCCAAGUGUGUAGGAUCAAGCCCAGGGGCAGAGAUGGAUGCAGCGAUGACCACAGCCGGUGUCCAGGCUGGGUGAGCGGCAGGGGUGCCCGGGAGGACCAGCCGCCGGGCAGAGAUCGAAGCAGAAAAACACCUAUGGCCGCCCGAGAGAGGGGAGAGCGAGGCCCGGGGCUCCGGUAGCCCCAGGAAAGUUGCCUUCCUGGGGUCUUUUCAAAGGAAAAAAAGAGAGAGAGAGAAGGGAGGGGUUGAGGCGCGUUGAAUUUUCCUUCCCGGGCUUGGAGCGGAGCGGAUUUCCAUAAAGGAAGAGAAGAGCACGGUCCUGGAUCCUUCCACGUCCGCCUCAUUCAAUCCAGGCCUCUCCACUUGCCCGAGCUCCCAGCCACCAGGAGAUUGACACGGAAGGGGCUUCUGGGCUGCCCUCCACCAACUCCCGCCUGGUUUCCCCAAAUCCAGCGACCUCCAGACCUCUUUAGGGGGAAACUAUCAGUGCCCAGACACCUCUGCGCCCUGUCCUGUGUGACUGUGCUCUCACACGGAACAUCUCACAAAGAAGGAAGGCCGGUUUAGAGCCGUGUUUACACUUAGUUCUACAGAUCCCUUCACAUCUGGAGAGUUUAUUUAUAACUCCCACUGUAACUCUCUCUGGAGGCACUGGUGGCUCUAUUGACAGACUGAUGUCUAGAAAAUAUUGCUCCAUCUCUAACCAUACCUAAAUGUGCUGUGGUUGUCUUUACAGAUUUACGCUUGAGGAAAAUAUGAUUAUUUCCAUUAUAUUUGUGCAUAUACAAUAGUUACAGGAACCAGAUUUAUAUAUGGGAAAAUAUACGGCUCUCUUAUAGCCAUCCAGCUUUAUGGACAUUUGAUAUCCUGACAGAUUUAUCUCUCUGAGCAGCUAUAUAGAUAAAUGUAUAUCGUUGGAAUUAUGUAUCAGAAGAUACACACUUAUUGAUUGUGAUAUAGAGUAGUUAGAACAUUCACUUAGAGCCAUAUAUGGCUACGGAGAUAUUUCUAUAUUAUUAUCACUAUAUAUAGGCAUAUCUAUUUAUAACUACAUAGUUAUAAAAAUAGACAUAAGUAAUUAUAGUCCUAUAUGUACAUGCUGCUAUCUCUCUAGAGUUAUAGACACUUGUGAAUAUAACUCUAUAGAGAUUUUCGUAUGUAUAUAAGGGUGUAAUUAUCUCAUGAUGUGUGUGUAUUGGGGCUUAGGCCAGUCUAUCUCUGUACAGGCAUAUUUAUAUGCAGGGGCUGGGAGAAACUUGUUCGUGGAAAUGUUUCCAGAGAGCCAACCGAGAGGCUGUAUCUGGCCAUCUAGGAAAUCAUCUAGCAGAGUUCUUUACUUACGGAGGGAUGGAGUUGCAAAAGGGUAAACAGAGCAUAGGAAGCCUCAAGGAGAGGAGGCAAAAGGAAGGAGAUUGAGGCUCCGCACAUUCAGGGAGGAAGGACGACAGCCCGGCACCCACCGAGGAAAGUGGAAACCGGUUUUGUGAGGGGCUCAUGCAGAGAGGGCCUGGGUCUUACGGAAGGGGAGGCAGUGAACUACUGUACAACCCACAGAAUGCUCUCCACUGAGGGAGAGAGCGGGCAGGCCUUAAAGGGCCUUCUGUUUGACUUUUAGUGCCCUACAGCUCAGCUACUGCCUAGCCCCACUCUCACCCCUGGUGCGUUUCCCUUGAAGCCUAAUUUUGGGGUCUGAAAGAGUGGGCUUCAGAGGUGAAGAAAUUUGGGAGGGACAGAGCAGGAAGUGGGGUGCCCUUUUGUUGCCACAGCUCUCUGGUGGUACAGCCAGGAAAUCGAGGUAAUGUGACCAAAUACAGCUUGCUUUCACCUGGGCCUCCUGUGCUCCUGGGUAGCCUGGUGGAUUGAGGUGAAUUUUCCAGUAGUGGGCCUGUUCUGAUGGGAUUUUGGGGAGGACCUUCUCACCUCUCCUUUCUCAGAGGCCUGGGCUUCAGGGGCCUAAUUCUGCUCCACUGGGCCACUCCUCUGUGGCUCCCCAGAUUGGGGUUUCCCCUUCUCUGGAUACCUAGGAGCCCCUCCAGCUCCCUAACAGCCCUGUCUGGGGCCUUUAUGGGGAGAAUUUGACUUUAAUGAGCAGGGAACAUGGACCUGAAUCUCUAUCCCUCACUUCUACUUAUCUCCUUGGUUCUCCUGCCGGCCCCCUUCCAGGCGCCACCAAGCCCAGGAGCCACAGUUCUCCUGCCACCAACCGUCCCAGGGGAAAAAAGAUGCCCCCAACUCCAUUUCAUUUUUUUUAAACUAGGGAGUCACAGGCAUCUUUGCUGAAUGGUUUGUGUGAAGGAGUUCCUCUGUUCUCAGUCUCAGAGGCCAGCUGCGCUUCCAGGAUCUCCAGGAUUCUGGGAAGAGCGUAGAGACUCCCUUGGCUGGGGUUAAAAGCCAAGCGCCAGCCUCCACACACCGCUGCCCACUGGAUGGGAGCUCCAAGGCAGGGACUUUCUCUGCUGCCUGACACAGAAGGGGUCUCCCAGUACAUACUUGUUGCAAUAAACAAACCUAAAGGCAAUCAAUCCAAAAGCUUUUGGCGGAGGGAGUCACCCUCCUCAGCCACCACAGCCUAGCAGGCAUCCGGGUACCACGGCUGAAGCCAGCUGGGGGUCACAUGGCAGCUGCCCGCAGUGGGCGCUGGUGGGGUCAUGGUUAGUACCAGGGCAAGAGAGUAGCCCCAGCCUGAGUUGGGGGGCUGGGGGGUGGAAUGAGGUACCCAGAACCAAGAAAUGGGGGUGAGGGCAAAGCAGGUUCCCCAUCCUCAGUCUCCUGGCUCCCCAGACCCCCAAGUAUAUGAAAACUAAGCUAGAGCUGAGACUUGGGCUGGGAUGGAGCUGCCUGUGGGCCUGAGGGGCCCAAAGAGGAACCACCACUUGAUCCAUUAAGAAAUACACAAAUAAGACAAACAUAAAUCAGUGGAGGCAGCUUGCCUGGCGGAGGAAAGGCCUCUAUGCCUCAGCCCUGCUCCAAGGAUGCUACUGAACUGAUUCGAAUUAAUGUUUAAAAAGUUUUUUAACUUUAAAAAGCUCACAAAUUUUCUAAUAGAGUAACACCCCCUAAUCAGGUCAUUUCAUAUAGUUAUUUCUUAAUUGUCAUCAUUCCCCCUGCUUUGGUCUCUAUAGAAUAGUUCCUUCUGGGAAUCUGGGGACAGGCGGUCACUGGCAGUGAGUGGGGUGAGAUAGGUAAGUUCAGAGUUUCCCCAUCUAGUGAGGAUCCAGGUCUGCAGGGAAGGGUCCCCCUUCCCCUCAGGUUUGGAGCAGGGAGGACACUCCCAAAUUUGGUUCCUUUUUUCCCUAAGGACACUUAGAGGCAAUCUGCCCAAUGUCUGGGUGAGGGACUGAGGUCCAGAGAGGGGGCUAAGUUUAACCUGGAAUCUCAUUUCUAGUUCACCCAGGGUUUGGACACCCAGCUCCCCCAACCCACCCCCACCACACACACACCUAACACCCACAGGGAUGGUGGAUGCUUUCCUUGCGGAAAUGCAGGGAGAGAGCAGAGGGGCUGGCAUUUACAUACGUUUGCUUAAGCAAAACUCGGAGCAGGUGUCUGGGCUCUGGCCAGGAGGUGGGGGCAGUUUACUGUAAACCUCAGAACAUGUGGGUUUCAAAUAACAAUUGUCUUUGGCAAAAAGGCAGGAAAUGAAGAGACACUGGCCAUACUUUGUUUCGCCUAGAGAAUUUGGGUCCCUUUACCUGGGCUAGAAUGGCCCUUAGCUAUUUCUGGGUCCCACACUCCUUUGAGAUGCUGGUAAAAAUAAUCCGCUCUCUUUCCAGCGAACGCACGGACACAGUGUUGCUGACAGUGGCAGGGAUUAAAUGGAGCCAGGAAGCCCAGAAACUAGGGCUAUGGAGCCCUAGUUUGUAUAUUUAUUUCCCCUACCUUUCUGUGACCCAUCCCCAGUUGUCUGCCUUUAUUUUGGCUCUCCCUGGUCUCCUUGUUUGGGAGGCAGGAAGUUCCUCCCCAAGUGUAAGCUCUGCCAUUCUUUUUUUUUUUUUUUUUUAACGCCAUGACUUCUCUUUAUUUCCUCCUGGGCAGUGACCCCUCUGGGAGUCUGGGUCCCGGCUAGCCCUGCCAUUCUUGGCAAAGCCCUUUUCCUUCUUUCGUUCCCUAGCACAGACGUCGGACAGAGGCCCUGCAGGCUUAUGCUGAGCUCUUAUCUGCUCUCCUGCAGAAACCGGGAGAGUGGCUGUUAACUGAAGCCUGGUCUCCACUGCCCAAUUACUCCACUAAUUCCUGAGGGUGGGGGGAGUCUGGGGGCAUCUUGGCAGCAGCAGAGGCCUGACUAUAAGGGGACCAAUUCCCAUCUCUGGUGGAAACUUGGAUGCAAGGAGCAAGUUGCAAUUGCUAUAAUAAGAGUCAUAAUAAUAACAAUAAUAAUUUAUUUAGCAUAUCAUUAGAUGUGUAUUUACUGUCUUCCCUCUGCUUUCUUACAAGUGUCUCCUAAGGGAUUCUCACAACACCCAGGGGAAACAAUAAUAAGCUAAUUACUACCCUUCAGCUCCUCUCCUCCUCCCAUCCACAAAGUCACCCUCUCAGAGAUGGAGCAUUCACAGAACCCCUCCUGGUUUUUUACACCUGCUUACCAACAUCUUCCCAGUCCCAACUCUCCUCUCCCAUUCCCAGUGUUUUCCAUCCCUGUUAGGAAAUAGCUGAGGCCCAGAGAGUGGCAGAUAUUAAUAUUGCUUCCCUGACAUCACAGCAAUAUUUAGGAUAAUGUGGGAGGAACCAAAUUCUUACUUCUCCCAUUGCUCUUUGGGGGGCAGAAACUGCCUUGCACAGAGUUUAGAGGCAGACCAGGUUAGAGAGAGGACUUGUUUGUGCUGCUCUGAUGCCAAAACAUCUGAAUCAAGUGUAAGAGUGUGGCCUGUCCAGCAAAUGUAACAUCCACAUCAGUGGCGUUCAGAUUAUUUAGGCCAGACCUCAGAGAUGCAAGGCCUCACUUAUCUACUAGCCUCUUUUGAAACUGGAAAGAAAAGAAAGAGGGAAGGAAGGAAGGAAGACAUAUAUGUGUAUGUGUGUGUGUAUAUAUAUAUAUAUAUUUAAAUAUAAAUUCCUACCUUCUCAGAGGUUAUAAUUAAAACACAAACCAGACAUAUGUUUUUGGAUGACAGAUUCUGGGUGGACUCUUGGACCAUCUAAAAAGGCCUCCUGGAGUCCCAGGGAUCUGCAGAGCACAAACCUAGUUACUCAUCACUCGGCCCCAAGCCAGGGUGGAAAAGUGAAGCUGAUGUCAUGAUAGUCUUGGUCAGAGACAGAGCUGCUUGGCCUGUCACUGAGAUCCUGGGUAUUGCUGCUCAGACUGCCCAGACACUGAGACCAGCCCUCCACCUGUCUGCCCAAGUAUACAACUGCUCCGGGAAAGAAGCCAGUCUGGGCUGGAGGGUGCAAGGGCUGGGUAGAGUUAAUAUCAAGGUGAACCAGAGAAGUUAGAAUUGAAUCUACUUUUUACCUCUCUAAACCAUAGGUGGCAGAGCAGACAUUCUCGGCGGGUCCUCUAGCCCAUGUGGUGUCUUUUCCUCUUUCUCUAGUCCUUGUGUCUGUCUGCUGCUCACACUUUCCACUGUCUGCCUCUGGCCUUUCCAUAUCCCCAGUCCUAUCAAAACUUACUUGGUCCUGACUCCCAGCCCAGUCUCCACUGGGUAAGAGCCAGACUGUCAGGUUAGGAAACCUUCACCAAUGUGUUCACUUGUACAUUCUCCCAGGAAACUAUGUGCUUUUUGGUAGCGGUCUCCAGGAGCCAUUGCCCAGAUGGAAAGACAUAGCUACAAUGAUGGAAUUUCAGACCCAUGGCAGGUGGCCCAGUAUAGAUUUGUGUGAGAGUGGUAUUUUUCUUAAACCAUAUCAUGAAGGCAACCACCCAUCCUGUCUGUGGGGAAAGCCAUCUUUGCCCGAGACCUCAGGUUUCCAUGCUGCUAGGAGGGGGCCAGAAUUCUUUCUAUUUCUUCUAUGACCGGUUCUUGAGGGGUCAAAUUAAGUUGUAAAAGAACUGGAUUCUAUUCCUGUGUGAGGAUUAUGUGUGAAUUAUCAGGGUUGGGCUUCUGAUUUGUUCAGGAUAUGAUGAUCAUUCACGCCAUGACUCAGUUCCAAUUCAUGGAUAGUAUCCUGAAGCCCCCUCAAUACUCAUAACCAUAAUAGCUUCCAUUUAUAGAGGAUUACUAUAUGCCAGGUGCUUUAUACUGAAUUUGAUGAGGAAACGUAAUCUCAGAAAGGUUAAGUCACCUGCCCAAGGUCGCUUAGCCAGGUUUGAACCCUGGCUGUGUGUUUCCCCAUCUGCUAGGUUUGAACGGUUCCAAAUCAUGCCUUCUGGGUUAAAUAAACAGCAGAUAACCAUGGAAAUGAAAAAAAUUUUUUUCCAAAAUAGUUUUGCAUCCUCUGGACAUACAGAGGCGACUCCGUGAGACACUUCUACACUGGCUUCUCCACUGGCCAAACCAAGCUCAUGUAACACUCAGAAUUUUCAUCUCCCUGAAUUCAGCUUUACUGGCAGCCCCUGUGAUUUUUCAGCCUAAUGACUAGCCUCACCACUUAGAGUUCAGCCCUUUUCGAAGACUGGAAAUAUACCCAUAGCUCAGGCAGCUGGUUUCUAGGGGAGUCCUUGAGUUCCCACUUCCCCGGGCAGAGUCUAGCUUUCUCACAAGGCUCAGCCAACAUGAAACUGAGAAGUAUCUAGAGAUUAAUCUUCAGAGCCCCUCAUCUCCCUGAGCAUCCCCUCUAAUCACUACUUUUCUGGUUCUAGCCUUGUUUGAUAAAGUAUCCCAGCGGUGCUUUUGUAUUUAAAGGAUGCGAUGUGCAGAAGACUGCGCUUAACACCAUGUGCUCUAGUGGUGGAACUUAAGGCAUUUCAGUGGCGGGAUAAUUGGGGAGGGGAAAAACAGAGCCUUCCCAGGGGCUUUAAGCUGCAUCACUGCAUAAGGCUGAUCCUGCAUCUCAUUAUCCAUUAUCUUCAGAUGAAAGCUUUAAAAUUGAAUCCCUUUAUUCUGAUGUUUGAAACUAAGCAGAUAGUGGGCUGAUGUCUCUGUUUUUACCUGGCUGCUGGUAUCCUGCAGACACCCUCCCCAUUGUCCUGCCCCAUCUUGUCUUUGCCUCCAUCCCCUCAGGGGUAAGGUCCUUAAGGGAGACAGCUCCCCAUGGUGUGUCUGCAGGGGCCCUGUGGGAAAGGUUGAGUUGUCAAAUGAGGAGACACCACAGCUAACAUCCUCACUCCCCCAACCCCCACCAACUCUGGAAUGAAGAUGGAGAGUUUUCUGUGCCUGGUUUGGUUCACAGAGACACAUAGUCCAUCAUUUGAUUUGCUACAAGGAGUAUUCCUUCCCUGCCCCCCAGCAUCCUCUAGUUUUUGCUUAGAGUCUCAGAGCUGGAAAGAUCUUAGAGAUAACCUGAUUGAACCACUUCAUUGUAAAUGAAGGGAAACUGAGGCUCAGACAGAGGCUAGAACCCAGGCAUUCUGAUCUCCAAACCAGUAUUCUUCCCAACACUACUCUGCACCUGGCUCUCUCUGCAUUUCAGCUAGAUACUUUUGGAAUUGCUUCCUCCAAAACCCAGGACCAAGCUUGCUUUCCAGGGCAGAGAAAAUAGGCACCAACCAUCAUGAUAAUAUGGAUCCCCUUGCCUGGCUGUGGCCACUUUUUGGCACAUGCCUUAUCAUACCCACACCAUGCACCACAAUCCCACUGGAGCCCAUUUGUGAUUUCUGUGAAAUCAGAGAGCCUCUCAAAUAAACAGGGGAAGACCCUGUUUCUGUUCCAUAUUAUGAGUAAGCUCAUCUCAAGACACUCCCUACAGCUGGCCCAGACCUGGAAAGAGGCUGCAGGUCUCAGCGCAUUUUUGCAAAGGGGUAAGCAUUUUCCCCCCCUCUAACAUCCUCCCUCCAGCCUCAGAUGAGGAGAGAAAGAGGCUGUCCUGAAUAGAAAAUUUUCCUUAAUAAGUUGUCAAGCCUUGCUCAAGCUUCAAAGGAAAAAAAGGAAAACCUCUCUUAUUAUCCAAUUCUGAGGAUUGGAGGCAAGGGAAGAGGGUAGAGCUUAGCAUGAGGAAUGCUGAUUAUACGUACAAAAGAAUUUGUCAGCCGUGAAAGUUGUCAGACACCUAUGUCCUCCGGAUACAUCAGGUAAGUUCUCACCCCCCUGACAUGGUCAAGUUAACCUCACAAGGUUCCUUCUGGUCCAAAGAUUCUGUUUAGAAGCUUCCUUUUCCCAGUGUUGGGUGGUCUGUCUAAUCCUAGAUUCCUUAGUCAGUGCUCACUCAGGUUCCCACUGAGCCUUGACUCCAGAAAACAUUCUUUAAUCUCAUGUUGGCCCCAAACAACAAUUGCCCCAUCUUUAAGAAACAAAACGAAACUGAACCAAUUUAGGAACAAAAUCCACCAGAUCAUUGAUGUGGGUACAAUAUCACUGGACUGGGGGCCCAGAUCCUUGGUGUCUGCCACAGGCUGAAUCAUGUCCCCUCAAAUUCAUAUGUUGAAGUCUUAACCCCCCAGUACUGGAGAAUGUGACUGUAUUCAGAUAGAGGGCCUUUAUAGAGAUAAUUAAGGUGAAACAAGGACAGAGUGGUGGGCCCUGAUCCAACAUGACCGGUGUCCUAAGAAGAAGAGAUUAGGACACAGACAGACACAGAAGGAUCGUGUGAAGCCAAGACCACAUGAGAAACACCAUCUACAAGACACAGAGGGCGGCCUCUACAGAAAUCAACACUGCCAACACCUUGUUCUUGGACUUCUAGCCUCCAGAACUGUAAAAAAAUAAAACUCUGCUGUUUCAGCCA